rnacentral:misc_RNA from 1 species
AAGUCGUAACAAGGUUUCCGUAGGUGAACCUGCGGAAGGAUCAUUAACGAGUUUUGAAAAGAGUUGUAGCUGGCCUUUAAAAUCAUUAACCAAAUAAAAAUAAAAAUAAAAGGCAUGUGCACACUCUGCUCAUCCACUCUCAUACCCCUGUGCACUUAUUGUAGGCUGGGUCGGAUGACUGGCUGUGAAAGGCCGGUUUGAAAAGCCUUGUCUAUGUUUUAUUACAAACAAGCUCAGUUUAAGAAUGUCAUAUUAUAUUAGCGUGUAACGCAAUAAAUACAACUUUCAGCAACGGAUCUCUUGGCUCUC